GGUUCCCAACGUCCUUGUACAACCAAGCGCACACCGACUGCCUUCACGCGAGGGUUUGGGGAGGUCUGUCAUUCACUUGUACUUGAACUAAAAUCACAUUUUUUUAGACAUGAUGGCAGCACGGUUUCUUCGUCGUUCUCUCCCUCUGCUGAGGCAAGCUCGCUCCUACGCCGAGGCGGCCACUGGUGCCCCGCAGAUGUCCUUCACAUUUGCUUCCCCGUCACAGGUGUUUUUCAACGGGGCCAGUGUGAAACAGGUUGAUGUGCCCACACUUACCGGUGCAUUCGGUAUCCUUCCUGCUCAUGUACCAACCCUGCAGGUACUCAGGCCCGGUGUUGUAACAGUCUUCAGUGACGAUGGCUCCUCUACCAAAUACUUCGUGAGCAGCGGGUCAGUAACAGUCAACGCUGAUUCUUCAGUGCAACUGUUAGCAGAGGAGGCCGUGCCCCUGGACCAGCUGGACAUUGCUGCUGCCAAGGCCAACCUGGAGAAGGCCCAGUCCGAAUUGGCUGGUACAUCUGAUGAAGCAGCGAGGGCGGAGGUUCAGAUCAGCAUAGAGGCCACCGAGGCCAUCGUCAAGGCUUUGGAGUAGACCUGUGGUACGAUGGCUCAUUUUCUGCUUCGUGAUCAGAUUAUUAGAGGGUUGCUGUUUUUUUGUUGAUUUGGUGGAAAUGUAUGAUCCCCGCUGUUUCCAACUUGAGUACGUCAGUAUCCAGAGGAUUCCAUUCCUGCAUUGUACAGUGAAUAAGAAAAUAAAUUUAUUUGGAAUUAC